rnacentral:rRNA from 1 species
GAUGAACGCUGGCGGCGUGCCUAAUACAUGCAAGUCGAGCGAACAGAUAAGGAGCUUGCUCCUUUGACGUUAGCGGCGGACGGGUGAGUAACACGUUGGUAACCUACCUAUAAGACUGGAAUAACUCCGGGAAACCGGGGCUAAUGCCGGAUAACAUUUAGAACCGCAUGGUUCUAAAGUGAAAGAUGGUUUUGCUAUCACUUAUAGAUGGACCCGCGCCGUAUUAGCUAGUUGGUAAGGUAACGGCUUACCAAGGCAACGAUACGUAGCCGACCUGAGAGGGUGAUCGGCCACACUGGAACUGAGACACGGUCCAGACUCCUACGGGAGGCACAAGAAGGGAAUCUUCCGCAAUGGCCGAAAGCCUGACGGAGCAACGCCGCGUGAGUGAUGAAGGUCUUCGGAUCGUAAAACUCUUUUAUUAGGGAAGAACAAAUGUGUAAGUAACUGUGCACGUCUUGACGGUACCUAAUCAGAAAGCCACGGCUAACUACGUG